GUAUGCAUGCUUAGCAUACGCACGAUUAAGCACAAAUAAAGCAAAAAUGCCGGUUGCUUAGAGCUCUACGCAUGGUCUCACGCAUGCGGCACGCCUGUGCUUUACCUAAAGCAAGCUGCCACCCGGCGCUGUGUGCGUCCCGCCCGAUACUGUGCGCGUCCCGCACGGCACAUAAAAUGGGGCACAUGAGGCACCUGAAGCUCUCUUGAUGUGUUACAGUUCAUGCAUCUGCGCUCCGACACGUGCCCCUCGUACUGGUGUCGUGGUGUGCCAAAAUGGUGCAAGUCCGCACGGCUCUCCCGCCCGCUCCGUCCACACGACCCACAACCCACCGCGUGCUGCACGCACACAUUCUGCAAGGCCUACCAUUGCUACACAACACUAAACGUACAGACCAGGCAUACUCAGGGUCUCGAGGCAAGUGUGAAGGCAACCGAUACGGAUCCCCUGCCAGCACUACACCCAGCCACCCGCCGAUCACAGCAUAACACCAUGCGCGCACAGCGCCGCCUGCCAAUUCCGCUGCCGCCACCUGAAGUCUGCCGCUUGCCGCUAGCCGCCUCCAUACUUGAGCUCGGCCUGCAUGGUGUUUGGGGUAAGUUGGUCAGUGCAUGGUGGCACGGUGUCGUGCAGGGCAGGGCCUAGACCGCAUUGGGCCUCUUUCCAGUGGGGACUUUAGCCAUUUAGUGGCGCAGACUUUAGUGGGCUUCUUCCUCUGCGAUGCUAAAUGCUUGCUAACCUUGUAAUUUUAGGCUAGUAGCGACGAAGGCCUGUCAGUUGGCUUGCUGGGUGUUUGCCGCGUGUCACCCCUUGGGAAAGGCAGUCCCCGACCAGGUCGCAAAAUCCGACCUUGGCUUUACUCCGCCCCGAUUUGUCUCCUGGUAUAUUUAGUGUUGUAAUUGCAAUCCCACAAGGCAGCGGUACUGCGGCGGAGCAUUCUAAAGGGGGCGCCACUAAAUCGACUGGAAAGAGGCCCAUUCGGUCCCCUAGAACCAACUUCCCAUGUACGUCAUUCAAAUCCUAUCAUUCAUCCUAUUAUGAGUUGUGUAGCAACUUCCGAUCAAACUUGCCUGGUGAGGGUUAGAAGGGCCACGCAUUUACGCGCGCUGCGCCCCGAGUCGAAUUCCAGUGCCGGACCUGAGGAGACAAGGCGAGGGGGAGCGGGGGAGCUUCACACUCUGAAUCUCUGCUUAUGCUCUUACAACUUCGUCCAUACUGCGCAUGGAUGCUAGCUCGCUUGACCCCCUGAAUUUGUUGUCGCUUGUCGACCCCCUGAAAUGGCUGUCGCUAUGUGUCCUGACCUGCCUCACCUGGCACUGUUGAUUCCAGACUUGGUCUCUGAUGCUUGAUUUACAUCCUGUAACAGCAGCGUCAAGACCUGGCUUAGUUGUAGACCCGGUCAACGAGGGUCCGACACCCCCUGCGACAGCGCAGCCCAGCCCCAGCACCAGCAGCUCAUAACAUACCUUCCAAAGAUUGAUGCCAGGGCUUAGCAGGACUUGAAGACUCGCCCUGUAGACUUGAGCGCCAACUUUGAAAGCAAGUCCAUGGCCGACUGGCAGAGGACCACGAAGUCUCUACAUGGUGCUGAACGAUAGGUAUGUAGCUACAUGUGACAAAGACAGGUUGCUUGAAGAGUGAAAAACUGAACUCGAAAUAUAUGAGCCCCAUGCAGCCCCAUGCAACAAGGUACGCGCUCCAUGCUGGGUCGGGUCUUGAUUUGCUUGCAUGCUCCGGCUUAAGUUAAUCUACAGCAGGCCGGUACGUCAGUCUUCAGCGCCGGUCCGGGCACGGGUCUCGCCUCCGCCUGCGCCUCCGCGGCUUGUGCUUAGGGAACCACCUGAAUACCGGCUUUCUCGGCUUCGCAUGGUUCGUCUUUACAGCUUUCUCAAUAACGGGGAAAGCCUCAUAUGCACACGCACCUCCGCUCAUGCCCACCGCCGCAUGAAGGAAGGCCGGGGGAGGCCUGGUGGAUACGGUGUAGGGCUCCCAUGCACACGCACCUCCGCU
rnacentral:lncRNA from 1 species